CACGUAGGGGGCAAGCGUUGUCCGGAUUUAUUGGGCGUAAAGAGCUCGUAGGUGGCUUAGUAAGUCGGGUGUGAAACCUCCAGGCUCAACCUGGAGACGCCACCCGAUACUGCUAUAGCUUGAGUCCGGUAGGGGAGCGUGGAAUCCUGGUGUAGCGGUGAAAUGCGCAGAUAUCAGGAGGAACACCGGUGGCGAAGGCGGGUCUCUGGGCCGAUACUGACGCUGAGGAGCGAAAGCGUGGGGAGCGAACAGG
rnacentral:rRNA from 1 species